CAACAGCUAGAGUUUGAUCCUGGCUCAGGAUAAACGCUGGCGGCGUGCCUAAUACAUGCAAGUCGAACGCUUGGACUUCUAGCUUGCUAGGAGGAAGAGAGUGGCGAACGGGUGAGUAAUACAUAAGCAACCUACCCACGAAGACUGGGAUAAUCCUUGGAAACGAGGACUAAUACCGGAUAGGUAAACGGAAGGCAUCUUCUGUUUAUUAAAGGUUAAAAACACUGGUGGAUGGGCUUAUGGCGCAUUAGUUAGUUGGCGGGGUAAAGGCCCACCAAGACGAUGAUGCGUAGCCGGCCUGAGAGGGUGAACGGCCACAUUGGGACUGAGACACGGCCCAGACUCCUACGGGAGGCAGCAGUAGGGAAUUUUCGGCAAUGGGGGAAACCCUGACCGAGCAACGCCGCGUGAGUGAAGAAAGUCUUCGGAUUGUAAAGCUCUGUUGUAAGGGAAGAACGGUACAUAGAGAAUAUGUAAAUGACGGUACCUUACCAGAAAGCCACGGCUAACUACGUGCC
rnacentral:rRNA from 1 species